rnacentral:siRNA from 1 species
GGACACGAGAAGAAGAGGUGGUC